CCUGGCGGCUGUAGCGCGGUGGUCCCACCUGACCCCAUGCCGAACUCAGAAGUGAAACGCCGUAGAGCCGAUGGUAGUGUGGGGUCUCCCCAUGCGAGAGUAGGGAACUGCCAGGC
rnacentral:rRNA from 1 species